rnacentral:rRNA from 1 species
AGCGAACGCUGGCGGCAGGCCUAACACAUGCAAGUCGAACGAACCUUUCGGGGUUAGUGGCGGACGGGUGAGUAACACGUGGGAACGUGCCUUUAGGUUCGGAAUAACUCAGGGAAACUUGUGCUAAUACCGAAUGUGCCCUUCGGGGGAAAGAUUUAUCGCCUUUAGAGCGGCCCGCGUCUGAUUAGCUAGUUGGUUGAGGUAAUGGCUCACCAAGGCGACGAUCAGUAGCUGGUCUGAGAGGAUGAUCAGCCACAUUGGGACUGAGACACGGCCCAAACUCCUACGGGAGGCAGCAGUGGGGAAUCUUGCGCAAUGGGCGAAAGCCUGACGCAGCCAUGCCGCGUGAAUGAUGAAGGUCUUAGGAUUGUCAAAUUCUUUCACCGGGGACGAUAAUGACGGUACCCAGAGAAGAAGCCCCGGCUAACUUCGUG